rnacentral:rRNA from 1 species
UACGGGGGGGGCAAGCGUUGUUCGGAAUUACUGGGCGUAAAGGGCGCGUAGGCGGCCUGCUAAGUCGGAUGUGAAAUCCCCGGGCUCAACCCGGGAACUGCGUCCGAUACUGGCAGGCUUGAAUCCGGGAGAGGGAUGUGGAAUUCCAGGUGUAGCGGUGAAAUGCGUAGAUAUCUGGAGGAACACCGGUGGCGAAGGCGGCAUCCUGGACCGGUAUUGACACUGAUGCGCGAAAGCCAGGGGAGCAAACGGG